CACUGCCUGCGUACCACCAAUCAAGCGCUCACCUUUUGGUGAGUUGUAUAUGCCCUUUAAGAAGUGGAAAGCUGAACCUCCAACAGCACCCAUACCAAAUGCACCGCCAACAUCAUCAAGUAUACGGUCAGGGCAAGGCUCACGAGAGGUCUCUGGUGUUCCCAUUGUAACAGGGGACUAGCACUGACUCAGAGGAAAAAAGUUAAAAGGGGAUGACACCAACCAAACAAACUUGCUUUUACUUUCCAAGGAAGUGAUUGGUUUGAUUUAGUAACAUUAGGAUGCAGACAAUUCACCUGCAUAAAACAUUCCCAUCUAGCUCCGCAUCAAGGGGUUGUAAGUGAAAAUUACAACGAACAUUAAAAACAACAAAACCACUAAUAUGAACACAAAUUUUGGACUCAACACUUGUAACAAGAACAACUUUUGAGUUUUGUUCUGUAGCUCUUAGCCUCUUACAAUCAAGGACUCAGAUCAAGUAACUAGUAAAUUCUUUUUAUAUAUAAAGAGGUAAAUAACAAUUUUUUUAUCAAGGAAAGAGGUCAAUAACUUCUUCUCAGCUACUUAUCCACUUGCCCGUUUCUUUAUAAUGCAAAGCAUUUACCCAUAAGGAUUAAUCUAUAGUUUUUUCAAUAAUAUUCAAACAACUUAACAACUUCACAUCACACUUAGACCAGAUAUAUUAAAAAAAGUAAAAAAUUCAGUAAAUUAAAGAAGCCGAGCUAUAAACUUUGAUAGACUAACUUAGAUUAAAAUCAAUAGGUUCUAGAAAGUUGAACCAAAUGUCGUUUUGAGGAUAACGUUGGACCAGACAUCUCAAUAACGAAAACCUUUCUUUUAAAUAAGAAAACCAUCCCUCCUCCAUCAACCAUAACCCGAAAAAUAUGCAUUCAAGAGUUUGGCAUAGUAAUCAAUUAAGUGCUUGAGAACUAUGAAGUCUCAAGUUCAAAUUGUAGUGGAGAAAAAAUACUAGGUGGUUCUUACCGUAUGUCCACCAUGUGGAGGACAGAGUGACCCAGACACAAAAGUUACUUAAAAGAAGAGUUAGGGGUCGUUUGGCAGGAUGCAUUAGAACAAAUAAUGCAUGUAUUAGCCCUGUGUAUUAUUAAUGCCUUGUUUGGUACACUUUUUCAACUGAUGCACAUUCUAUUGUAUACUAUGCUGCUAUGCCAUUACUAAUACAUGAGAAACUUUGGUAUUAGAAAUGCAAGGGAUUUCAAUGCAUGCAUUAGCAUGUGUAAGGACAAAAUAGCACCUCAAAACCCUUUUCCACAUCAAUUUCAUUAUAUUUGUGGAGGGUAUUUUUGUAAAUAAUUUUUUAAUUUAAGAAUAUGUUAUGUAAGUUUUUUUUAACACAUCAAACCAAACAGUGCAUAAGAAAUAAUCUCGGCAUAACUAAUACAUCAUAUUUUGCAAUAUUCUAAUACACCCUACCAAACGACCCCUUAAUGAUCAAAAACACCCUUGAAGUAUCACCGUUUGCGAGUUUACCUACCUGAAUUUUCAGGCACUCACUUCUUCUACUUGAACUAUCACCAACUAUUUAUCAAAACACACCUCAACUAUUAGUUCUUCCCUUUUCCUACCUGAAAUAUCAUCAUCAUUUGGAUAGAAUGAUGGGAAAAGGUAAAAAUUGAUCGUUGAGGUGUGUGAUGAUAGUCCAGGUAGGAAAAAUGGAGACCUCAUGGUUCAAGUAGGAAAAUCAAAAAAAAAUUGUGUGAUGUCGUUCAGGUAGGAAAAGUAAACAACUGAUAGUUGAAAUAUGUGUCGAUAACUAGUAGAUGAUAAUUCAAGUAAGAAAAAUAAAAACUAGUUGAGGUAGGAAAGUCAAAAAAACGUGAUACUUCAGGCGUCCCAGUUCAAAUGAAAGGGAACAUGCAAGAAAAGGAAACAACUGAUAGCCGAAGAGUACGUUUCGCAUUAAUUGGUGAUAGCUCAAAUAGUAAAAUGAAGACCGAACAGUUCAAAUAGGAAACUUGCAAAAACGUGAUACUACUACAACAACACCAAUAUAUUCCCACCAGGUGGGGCCUGAGGAGGAAAAGUGUAUGCAGUUUAUACCACUACCUCAGAGGUGAGAUAGAGAGGUUGUUUUCGAUAGACCCCCGAUCAAGAUAAAACAAUCUAAAAAAGAAAUAGUAAAAUACCAAGAUACAAUAGAAAUUCCCACACCCAAAAAUAUCAUUAAAAAUACUCACCAAGUAAUACAACAAAUGAUACAACAAUCUGAAAUAAAACUAGUACUAUAGCUACUAGCACGGAUAACAAAGUCCUGUGGUACUGACGCACUCGUUCCUGCUAUCCUUCUGCCCUAAAAUGUGAUACUAGAUGUAUGUUAUUUACCCUUAUACAAGCAAAAAUUACCAAGAAACAACUUCCAAUACAAAAAAUGAAAUCUUUAAUUAAUCAAUCAACCACACCUCCCACCAGCAACAGUACCAGUUAGCUAACUUCUGUUACUUGAUAUUUGUUGCUAGUGGAAGGUGGAACGUAUCCCGUGGAUUUACCGACCAUUAUUAAAAAAAAAUGAAUAAAUAAGGGAAAAAAAAUUGAGAUCUGGAAAAUUAAAAUUCUUUUUUUUAUUAUUUUUCUUUUUUCUGCAAAAAGAACAUUGAUGAGAAUUAAUUACUAUAAGCAAAGAUUUUGCAGGAGAUGAUGGUGAAUUUUACCUGAAGGGGAAGGAGUGGUAUCGACCGACCCGACAGAAAUGAGAGAUGUAGAAAGGUGGAGAAGCUUGGAAAACCUAACAAGGGGUUUGUUGAAAUUUAAAGGGGAAGAGUUAGGUCAACAAAAGAGAAUGUCAAUUCAAAUAAAAAUACUCCCUCCGUUCCAUUUUAUGUGUCGUCAUUUGACCAGGCAUGAAGUAGUAUCGCCAUUUGACCGGGCAUGAAGUUUAAAAAAUAAGGAAAAACUUGAUAAAGUUUACCAAAUUAUCUUUUAUUAAAAAAUAUGUCAAUAUCUUUUUUUUUUAAUUAAGUAGGACCAAUAAAGGUAAAAGGGUAAUUGUGCUUUUAAAAAGUUGUCAAAUAAGGAAAGACAAUACUUAUUUUGGGACGAAUUAAAAAGGAAAUAAUGACACAUAAUUUAGGACGAAGGAAGUACUAUAUUAAAUAUAUGAAAAUAUAUACGUAUAAAAUAAUAAAAAUAAAAGUUACUAUUUGAUUAAAUAAAAUAAGUAUUUAUAUCUGAUAGUAACGGUGGAAAUGAUUUUUAAUGCGGUGGUAGCAACAAUGGUUGAUGUUAGUGACUAAUAAUCGUGGUGAUGAUUGGUAUCCUAGUAACUAACUGAUGGUGGUGGUUCAAAGUGAUAGAGGUGAUUGUAAUGGUGGAGUUGACUGGAGCUAGUAGUUGGAGGUGCUAAUAGUGGUGAUUGACGAUGUGUUGAUUGGUAGCUGAUGAGAGGUGCUAAUUGUGAUGGUGAAGGUGAUUGGUUGUAUAAACUGGUCACAAUGGUGAUAGCGAGUGAUAGAUGUGGUGGAUGUGGCGUUGAUGAGGAGAGCGGAUAUAAUUAUAAUGAUGAGGUAGUAGAUAUGGCAACUAUUUUCAAUAGUCUGAUUAUCAGUGAUGGUUGGCUAAGGCUACCUGGCUAGUGAUUGACAACAAUGAUGGCGAUAGUGGUUGUGAUGACAGAAUCUAGAGUUGGUUAGUAGCCGGUGAUUGUGAAUCGAAUAAUGGUUAAAAUUAGUCAUAUAAAAAUACCUCAUAAUGAUAUUAAGACUUUAUUUAAAAUCUUAGUAAUAGAACAAAUCAAAUAAGCGCCUAAAUUUUAAUGUGAAUAAAUGAACGAUCAGAACUAUCCAUAUUCAAAAGUCAAUGGUGCAAAUAAAUAAAAUUAAAAUCUGAAUAUCAAGAUAUGAAUUUAAUUUAAAAUAACUAAAAUUGUCUUUUUUAUAAAAAAAAAAAUAUAUAUAUAUAUAUAAGAUUUUUCUUUAUUAAAAAAUUAAUAAAACAUGAAACUACUCUAAUAUUACAUAAAUAAAAAAUUACCUAGUGAUUGCGUACCUAGUGAUUGCGAAUAUCGAUCAGAGAAUGUUAAAUUGUGAAUAUCAAUCAAGAAUGUAAUUAAUGAUGGUCUUUAGUACUUAGUGGUAAUAAUGACUAGCAAUAGUGGUUGAUGGUGAUAGUGAAUGAAACAGAGACUGGCAAUAUAUAGCAGCUACGAAUGAUAACGAUUGUUGAUGGUGAUUAAAGAUUGUUAUGGUAAUGGCAAUUAGUAAUAACAGUGGUGAUGGCUGUGAAAUUUGAAUGACUAGGAGGGGAGAACCGCCAACCUUUGAAUAAACAACUUAAUGACAUCAAUCAUAAUGAGAUUAAAAUUGUAGAACAAAUCUUAGUCAUUUGGACUUACUCAGAAUCAUUAAGUGAUUGGAACACAAAAUAACACACACACACACAAAAUAAUUAAGAUUUUAUUGAUUGAGAUUUAAACCCACGAAACGAACUUAAUGACUUAGAAUGAUAUUCAAGAUUGCAGUACUCUAUCUGUGACGGGCGUCGCACUCACAGAUCAUGCGUUAGCUUGGGCCACUCUAGAUGUGUUUGCCGUCUACGAAAAAGUUUAACCAACUACGGUUUCAACAAUAUAUUCAGUGAAAUCCUACAAUUAAAUUUCCUUUUUUGAAAAAAGCAUAUUAACUACAAAAAGAACCACCACACACAAGGAAUCAUGUUAUCAAGAAAAAUUAGCCCUGCAAAAAGACCAUUAAUAUGCUGGCCAAGCAUGUGUUUCCAUAUACAAGCCAUAAACCUACCAUAUUAUUUUUCAAUUUGUGUGAACAAAAAGUAGCCAAACUCAUACAACAAUCAAAUGUUAGUACCAUUAAACCUAGACCAAAUGAAACAUUACCCUCAAUCAAAUACUAUAAAUUUAACUGCCUCAACCAAUAAGCCCCACUCUGUAAUUAAAAUCCAUAAUAAGCCAUCUAGUAGCCUCAAAAUUGGCAUGUAUGAACCGUGACAAGUAUACUGACCACCAAAAUGCUCCGCCCUGCAAAAUGGAUUCCGGCAAAUAUUUUUAUUAUAAACUGCACAUAUCAGUAAGAUUAUAAACUGCACAUAUCAGUAAUGUCGUUUAGUGUGAGGUAUAAGGGAUAAAUAGUCCCUAGGAUAAAAUGAAGGACUAUUUUAUCCCAUGUUUGGUGUGAGGGUCUAUCGGAAACAGCCUCUCUACGUCUUCGGAUGUAGUGGUAUAGACUGCGUAUAUUUUACCCUCCCAAGACCCCCAUUAUGUGAGAAUAUACUGGGUUUGUUGUUGUUUGUUGGUUGUUUGGUGUGAGGCAUUAGUUAGUACCGGGACUAUUUAUCGCACCAUUUACCACCAUAGUGAUGGGAUAAGUUAUCCCCCCAUAUACAUGGUGGGAUAGCUAAUCCCGGGAUAACCCUUUCCCAACCAAACAAGCAAGAUAGGAAGAAACAAGUAAUAUGUCAAAGCAUCAAAGAAGACCAAUGGUUGAACACCCUACCCAUCCAGGAUCUAUCAGGUUGUCAACUUACCUUGUAAGAGAAGGGGAGACAUACACUGCUGGAGUAGUUGUGAAUUGUGAACAUAUUAUGCCAAAAGAGAGGACAAACGAAAUUCAAGAUUACAGUGACAGAUGAAUGAGACAGAGGAAGAACAAAGAGAACUUGAGCGUUAGUGUUUCACACAACAGAUGGCAGAUAGAAACCUCUUUGGAUAAGAGGUCCAGCAUUUUAUCCGAAAAAGUGAUACACAGAGGAACUGGAAGUGCGAGCAACUAGCGUAAGUCUUCAACGUACUUGGAGAAACUGUUAGGAACACCUCAUAAGGAUUGUAUUGUCUGUAAUCCACUGAUAGAGUGGGAUGAGAAAAACUGGCAGGGUGGCAGGAAUAGAUCUUUCAAAAGGAGGGAAAGGAACCUUCAUAGAGAGUACUACACCUAGCAUACCAGCCUAUUAAAAGUCUUUAAUGUUCAUCCUAAUGUGUGGUACAAAUGUCAAAAAGGAAUCUGCUGCUAUGUUGAGACAGGAAGGGAAUCCUGCAGUGACCAGUGUGGAAGUCUCUGUAGAGGAUUUUCCCAGAAGUGCAUGAGAAAGUUUGCUGCUGCCUCUCAGGCUUGAUUUUGAGAUUUUACAAGGCAAUGAGGCAUCCCUUUGUUUUUUUGGGGCGUUGAUUUAAGCAAUAUAAGGAGUUGUCUCCUUGCAAUUUCAAAGUUUGUUCUUGAAAAAAGAAUGACAACAAGAACUCCCUCGAGGAUGGAUGAUACAAGAACCAUCACAUCUCCUAGCUGAAACUUGAGAAAGAAAAGCCACAUAUGUUAGCUCAUGCUUCAUGUGCAAAUGCUUAGCUUACAUAUUCUUUCUUUGUUGCAUAGUGAAGUGGCAACCCAACUAUGGAGACGAUGCUAGACUAUGCUGCAGGGCAACAAGUGAUUCCAAUGAGAGAGGUCUGUAAAGUUGAGCCUUUAGAAGAAGAGGAUAAACGAACGGCAUAGGAGUGCUUCCCCUCUAUAUCUCAUAUGGGUCCUUUGGAAGGUGAGAGACUGGAGAGAUUUUGAAGGGUUAGAGACUGAUUUCGUACAUUUGAGGAAACUUUGCAACUAUCGAUAUUUGUUAGUAUAAAGACAAUAUGUUUUGUUAAUGUACUGGCAGAUCAACCAAUUUGUAGAUUAGUCCCUGUUAGUAUAGUGUUUUUGAAGGAAAACAUUUAUUCAGAAAACAUUGGCCUCACUGAUUAGUCAAUACUUGUUCACAAUACAUAAAAAAUCCAAAUAAUAAAGAAAUAACAUUUACUAACCUGAAAAUUAAACCAUCUCUUAAACUCAUUUAAAUUCAAAGGUAGGUGGGAUAGGAGCAUCAAAGCUCUCUAAAAUCUGUGUUUUGCUACCACCGCUUGUCGCUGUCUCCUCCUUCUUUCCAUCACCAAAAAGCCCUCCAAACCAGGAAGUUGAGGAAGAAGAGGAUGGUGCUGAAGAUUCUGACAUCAUACCAUCAAUACUUACGGCAGCUUGACCAGGAACCUGCCCCAUUGGUUGACCAGGCACCCCAGGGACAUUUGGUAGUGGCUCCUCCAUGGGUGGGAAAUUCUGCGGAGCAGCCAUGACUUUAUUUAACAUAAUUCCAGCUCCAUCUAUCAAUGCAAGUAAGACUCCACCAAACAAUGCUGAUCUCGAAGCAGAACCUAAUCCCUGUCGCAUCUGCAGAAAGCCACCAGCUGCUGCACCAGCAAUAAUUGAGUUCCAAGGAUCUUCUUUCUGUCGGAGAUAAACCAUUGAACAAUCAAAUGUGGAGAACAAUCCACCCCACACAGCAAAACUACCACCAAUACGAGGAGCAUUCAUGCGCACUGCCUGUGUACCACCGAUCAAGCGCUCACCGUUUGGCGAGUUGUAUAAGCCUUUUAAGAAGUGGAAGGCUGAACCUCCAACAGCACCCAUACCAAAUGCUCCGCCAACAUCGUCAAGAAUACGGUCAGGGCAAGGUUCACGAGAGGUCUCUGGUGUUCCCAUUGUUACAGAGGACGAGCACUAACUAGGAAGUAAAAGGUUAAAGGGGAUAACACCAACCAAGCAGACUUGCUUUCACUUUCCAAGUGAUUAGUUUGCUGUAAUAAGACUAGGAUGCAAAGAAUUCACCUG
rnacentral:lncRNA from 1 species